rnacentral:rRNA from 1 species
UGAGGAUUUUAUCUUUGUAUUGUAGCUAACGCGUUAAGCACUCCGCCUGGGGACUACGGUCGCAAGACUAAAACUCAAAGGAAUUGACGGGGACCCGCACAAGCGGUGGAGCAUGUGGUUUAAUUCGAUGCUACGCGAAAAACCUUACCACUUUUUGACAUGAAGGUCGUAUCCCUCCUAACAGGGGGAGUCAGUUCGGCUGGACCUUACA